AACGCAUCUUGCGCUCUUUGGUAUUCCGAAGAGCAUGCCUGUUUGAGUGUCAUUAAAUUCUCAACCUUAACAUCUUUUUACAAAGUUGAUAAGGCUUGGACUUGGAGGUUGUGCAGGCUUUCGAGUCAGCUCCUCUGAAAUGUAUUAGCGGUACUCUAGUGGUACAAAUGCUAUUAGUGUGAUAACUAUCUACGCUAUUAGACCGUCCACAAUUAAAUGAGUUACACUGCUUAUAACCGUUCAUUUAUUUGAACAAUACAUGACAAUCUUGACCUCAAAUCAGGUAGGACUACCCGCUGAACUUAA
rnacentral:misc_RNA from 1 species